UGGCUUUAUUUUGGAAAAAAGGCAAGCAAUAAAAUCGAGUCAUGUCAAACGCUGAUGAAAUAAAAUACAAAAUCAAGAUGCAGCAAAACAGAAGACUUGAUACUACAGACCCUUAAUGGAUUCAAUCCUCUGAGAGAAUAAAUAUGCAUUUAAUUGUAUUUUAAGACCAUUACAGGUUAAAAAAUGAUAGACAAUUAACCUGGUAACCAUAAUCAGGUUACAUUUAAACCUCUGUGGAGUCUGUGGAGUAGUUAUAAGCAGCUAAUCCGGAGGUAGGACAGGAGCAAAGAUGGUCAGUGAUAUCAUACACACAUACAUCGGCACGGCUGACCGUCACCGCUGUAUGUUCUUGUGGAACAUUUCGUUCCAGAUGUGCUGUUAAAAUAAAGUCAGUAAAAUGAGCGUCAUCUGAGAAGGUUUCUGUCUAGAUCUUGCGUGGCUUUGUGUUCGUUUAUUCGUUCGUUCAUUCACAAGAGCAUUAAUGAGAUCACACUCUGAUGUUGGGAUGUUGAGGAGACUCCAGUUCCAGAUCAUCCUAAAGGUGUCAGAGUCAGGGAUCUGUGCAGAACACUUGAGAUCUUCCACUACAACCCAAACCUCCACACCAUGUCCUUAUGGAGCUCAGGGGCUUUUUUGCACAAGGGCAUGUGGUAACCUAGUGGUUAAGAUGUUGGACUACCAACUGGAAGUUUGUGCCACCAACAGAAAUAGAGGCCCAACGGCGGCAUUUGUUCAGUGCUGAGGCUUGAACCCUGAUCAACAACCCAGAGUCUUAACCACUUGAGCCACCACUGACACACCAAGCUGUGACCUCUGGGCCCCUGAGCAAGACCCUUAACCUUCUAUUGCUCAGUCAUGUAAAAUGAGAUAAAAUGUAAGUCGCUCCAGAUAAAGGAGUCUGCCAAAUGCCAUAAAUGUAAAUUGUCACACCGGAGCAGUGUUUGCGUCUCUGAAAUUUCCCAGUAAAGUGCAAUUGUAAUAUCAGAUGUAAUAUAAAGUCUAAUCUGGAUCAAUACAAAACAAUGUAAAAAAAGUUCCAGUAAUUUAGAAAAAAAAAUGUAUCUUUAAAUGUUAGCUUUUACAACUGAGUUUAGUUUUUAGGUUUAAAACUGGUGCUAAUGAUCUGCUAGGAGACUUAAACUGUUACAGUGUCCGGAUGACCAAAUACAGCAUAAUAACUGUAUUCUGUCUUCAUUUUUUAUAAUACGAGUAAAUAGACCACAGAGAUGUAGUUAAUAAUGAACUUCAUUAUCCAUGUUCUUUCACUUGGAUCACCUCCAGUGAAUUUACGACCGUCAAUCUGAGACGUCCCUUCCUUCGGCUCCGUACGAAGAACGAGGCUUGCCACUGAAGAACUCUUGUUAAAUCACGUCUAACUUUAACAGCUCAGGUUUCACAAGGAACUUCGUGGGAACUGAGAAUAUUUCAUGAGAGAUAUUACUUUACAUUGUAAAAAAAAAAAAAAAAACAAGAAAACAAUUGUGUUGAAAACUUGUCUCAUAAAUGUAACCAAUCUCAUAAAAACCUGAGUUCUGAAUUAUAAGGAAAUGUUUUUAUGGGCCGUCAGACAAGAGCGAGAGUUGUUAGGGUUGUUAGAGUUGGUAGUUGUUCAAACAACAAACCUGUGAAACUUUCAUUAGCGUUCAGAUUCGACAGUAUUUAUGUGCAGGUAGAGAUUUCUGGAAGUGUUGUAAAAGAGAGAUAAUACAUGCUGCGUACAGACGCAACGCGGAAGUUUGUCGACCUCUUGAAGAGAGACGCUUAAGACCUACGCUUUGGACUUAAGCCACCAAAUUAGGGCAUAAUGUCAGCACCAACCACCAGCCACCAACCACCAGCCACCAACCUCGGAUCGACCUUGAGAUACGACUCAAGAAAUGUGCGCUCCUUUCAGAGACCUCGAGUACCUCCUGGAAAAAAAAUAACAAAGUAGGGACCAGAGGUGCGCUCAAACACUCCAUUCCCGCCAUGAGUAAACAGAGAAGCAAACAGUGAGGCUGGCUAAAAUGGUGCCUGGUACAGCGCUGGAACAAAUCUCACACGAGGAGAAAAAAAACGCAGCUGAUAACAACUAUAAUUGGAGAAUGUCGAAUGUGUAUGUAAUUUCUGCCCGAACAAAGACCUUGUCACACUA